AUGUGUGUGUGUGUGCUAUGGUGUAUUGUAGUAUGGCUUGAUGAUGCAUAUUUGUCAACUAUGAAUGUUGGGUCAAACAAUUCAUAUGAUCAUUGGUCUCAAACCAACAAAGUUCAUCAAGAAGACCACGAAUAUGAAGUGGAUGAGGAUGGUGUGAGGUUGAUCGAUGCACCGAAAGGAAGGUCGGCAAUCUACACCAUGGACAAGGACAUUUUACUAUGCAAGACAUGGGUGGCAUGA
rnacentral:rRNA from 1 species